UACGUAGGGUGCAAGCGUUGUCCGGAAUUAUUGGGCGUAAAGAGCUCGUAGGCGGCUUGUCACGUCGGGAGUGAAAGCCCGGGGCUUAACCCCGGGUCUGCAUUCGAUACGGGCUAGCUAGAGUGUGGUAGGGGAGAUCGGAAUUCCUGGUGUAGCGGUGAAAUGCGCAGAUAUCAGGAGGAACACCGGUGGCGAAGGCGGAUCUCUGGGCCAUUACUGACGCUGAGGAGCGAAAGCGUGGGGAGCGAACAGG
rnacentral:rRNA from 1 species